GACGAACGCUGGCGGCGUGCCUAACACAUGCAAGUCGAACGGAAAGGCCCUGCUCUUGCUGGGUGCUCGAUUGGCGAACGGGUGAGUAACACGUGAGUAACCUGCCCUUGACUUAGGGAUAACUUCAGGAAACUCGGGCUAAUACCCGAUAGGAUCUACUGCUGCAUGGUGGUGGUUGGAAAGUUUCGGCGGUUGUGGCUGGUCUUGCGGGUUAUCAGCUUGUUUGUGGGGUAGUGGCUUACCAAGGCUUUGACGGGUAGCCGGCCUGAGAGGUUGACCGGCGACAAUGCGACUGAGAGACGGCGCAGACGCGUACGGGAGGCAGUAGUGGGGAAUAUGACACAAUGAGCGGGAGUGAGAGAUGGCAGCGCCGGGUGCGGAAUGACGUCUUUCGAGUGGUGAACCACUGUGGCCGGUGACAAGGCGUGAGUGACGGUAAUGGGUAAGAAAGCACCGGCUAACUACGUG
rnacentral:rRNA from 1 species